UUGUUGUUGUUUUUUUUUUCUCUUUUUUGAUUUUGUUGUUGCUUUUGCAUUUUUAUUGCGUUUUUAAUGGCAUUUCUUUCCGGUACGACGCCUCCGAAUAGCCAGCAAAUGUUGAAGGCUGUCGCACAAGCUUCAGCCCCAGUUUCAGCCCCCAGCUUUAGCUUUCAGUUUUGGCAUCAGCUUUGGCCACAGAGCCAGAAUGCAUACAUUUAACUAGGCUGGGAUGUAGCUGGGAUGCCCGUGUGUGUGUGUGUGUGUGUGUGUUUGAUGUGGGGCAUGUGGCAUGUGGCAUGCGGCACAUGAAAACUCAUUAUUCAGGUAAACGCAGCCAAAAAAGAAAUAAAGUAAAGUAAAGAACGUGCGCUCAUUUGGCUGGAAAAUUUUACAGCAGUCCAAGUUGUUAGUGCAAACAAAGGGAAGUGUUGGAAAGAGUGUUGGGCAACGAGAAAUGACAACGGGGCAAUUGAAGCUCACUUGAGUGCCACAGUGAAAAUCAUAACUAAUGGCAAUAAAACUUGUUUGUGUGAUUAUUAACAUUUGGCCUCGCAGCUUAACAGCAUUAACAUGUAUGUGUAGGUACUUGGAUAUGUGUAUGAGUGCGCUUAUCUAAUUGUGACCUAAAUCGCACAAAGGACCCAUUAUCUAUUAUAUCUGCUGAACAAUGAACUGAAACUACAACUUGAUUAGCUGAAACAAGCGAAAAACACACGAGCCCAAACCCUAUCUUCUAUGCGGGCUAUUCUAUAGUAUAAAUUAUUGAUUUAAAACUACAGCAAGGCCAACUGCCAGCAGCGAACAGCUAACACAGCACAAAUUAUAUCCUAGCCUCUCCAAUGAGUGCUUACUGUUUGUGCAGUUCUUGUUGUUUUUGUUUUGUUUUGCUGAUGAUUUUUUGUGUUGAUGUCACGCAAAACUUAAUACCCAAAGCCAAUACGAAAAGCGAACGGUAAAUAUACGCACACACAUACACACUCAUACAUAGACGAACAUAAAGAAAUAAAACAAACAGGGAGCAUUAAAGUCAAUGAGCGCAAAAAAGAGAGAGGAGCUGUUGUAACAGACAAAACUACAGCCGCCGCCGCAGCAGCAAAAGAAUCAACAGCAACAACAACAACAGAGCUAACAGAAAAUAACCGCAAAAGAAAAAUCGUUAAAGCAGCAAUAAAUUGUGUUUUUAUAAGGUAAAUAGAGCAAAGCCCGUUGAGAGCCAAUUGAAGGCAGACCACAAAAUACAAACAGAAAACAGAACAAGAAAAAAAGAAACAGAAAACAGAAACAGAACUGAACAGCCAGACAGAGGGACAUUUUGAUGGGAAUGUGAGGCGUUCCUUGGGGGCUGCUUGGACCGAGCAGCUCACGCAUGACAGACUGACCCAAGUUACGGCCCAAUCAGACGCACACAAACACACACACACUCAUGCAUAUAACGUAAAAGUUUGGCGCGCGUUUUUGCUGUUAAAUUCUUAACGUUUGACAUGCGUCUACGUAUAAAUAUGUGUCUGUGUAUCUGCGUGUGUGCCUCUGUGUGUGAGCGCGUCUCUUGCGCCUAAUUUAUGGCAAAUUCACAGGUGCGCAUAUUACUUGCGCCCUGUCAAAGACGUCGCGCUGAGCUCUACAACAAAAGCAAACAGCAGUAGAAAGCAAUUUCAAGCAAGGACUAAAACAAAAGAAGCUACAUACACACGCAAGCACACUCAAGCUGAGCUGUAAUGUAAGAGUAACAGCAACAGAAAGUGUCGUGCGUGUGUGUGUGUAUGUGUGUGGCUAUUGCAGCCGCAGCUUUGUGUAGCUAUAUGUUUGUGUGAGUGAGUGCUGGGCGACAUUAUAUCAAAGACAUUUGACUGACUGCAAAAUGGAAGUUGGCAAACGAGUGUAAGAGAGAAAGUCAGUGGCAAGCAAGAGAGGGAGUGAGAGCGAGAAAAACGUCAACAUAGCGAACAUUGCCCGGGCCGAAUGCGUUCUUUGAGUGCAACCAGCAGGCAAAAUUGUCAAAUAUAAUAUAUGUAAGUAUGUAUGUAUAUAUAAAUGCACACAUACAUAUAUGCAUAGUACAACAGUAGUUCUUAUAUUUAAUUCGCUCCUCUUGCUCUGCCGCUUUCCCGCCGCUCUACGUAGUGCUCAAGUGCCACUUUAAAGUGCGCUCUUGCUUGCCUAACAUAAAUUUCCAUUAUUUCAUUUCGCCUCGUUUCUCCAACUACAACAACAACAACAACGUUUACUACUCACUU